AACUUGCCUUUGUUUUUUUCUUAAACUGUGAAUGCACAGCGUUCUAGAACACAACUACUAACUAGCUCGGCCUGGUACCACGGAUUUGUGCUACGGCACCAGGAGAGCAAAAUCAACACAGAAAAAAGCAAGAAAACUCAGAGAAAAAAUAAAACAAAUCUACAAUGAACACAUCAGUAUGUAUAUUUCUACAAACUUGUGUGAGAAGUUCUGUAAGAUCAAGUCCUAAAAGCAGAAUUGCUGGCUCAAAGGCAAAAAAAAAAAAAAAAAAGUAAAUUUAUUGAUGUGCCUACCAACGUGUUCUGAGGCUAUGAGGAAGCCAUAAAAGUCCUACCCUGAAUUACAGUCCAUCCUGGAUUCCAGGCAAGAAUAUAUACCUUCAGAUUUGGUGAG
rnacentral:lncRNA from 1 species